GGGAAGUGUGAUAAGAAGCCCAUAGUCAAGCCCCGUAAUUUAUCGCAUUCCAGAGCUUGGUGCAUACAAGUGAUGAGAUGGCGCAAUGCAUGCGCAGAAGACCAAACGGUGGCCUUCUUGGUAAAUGAAUUCAUACAUCGCCAAAGGAACAUCAUGGAGACUGCACACUAUCUCUUUCCAGGUUUCAAUAUGCAGCCCUCGAGACCUUUUACCUUCUGAGCAAAAGCCAACGGAGGAGCUAUGUCAGUGGGAAGCUGCCUCCUGUAUAUACAGAGAGCUGGCUGCAGCUAGGGGAGCUCCAGAGCGCGGCUCCUCCCGGGCCCUUCCAGUUAAGCAAGCCAGCCGAGGGAAGUUCUCUGCUCCUCCGUCAGGCUGAUGAUAGCCAAAGGUAGGCACUGACAGCACUUGCCUCAAGCUUUAAUAAAUGUUGGAAGC